rnacentral:rRNA from 1 species
UACGUAGGAUCCAAGCGUUGUCCGGAUUUACUGGGUGUAAAGGGUGCGCAGGCGGGCUGGUAAGUCAGUAGUGAAAAUCUCGGCGCUCAACGCCGAAACGUCUUUUGAUACUACCAGUCUUGAAUAAGCGAGAGAUCCGUGGAAUUCCGAGUGUAGCAGUGAAAUGUGUAGAUAUUCGGAAGAACACCAGCGGCGAAGGCAGCGGGUUGGCGCUUUAUUGACGCUCAGGCACGAAAGCAUGGGGAUCAAACAGG